rnacentral:tRNA from 8 species
GGUAGCUCAGUGGUAGAGCAACCGGCUGUUAACCGGUUGGUCGCUGGUUCGAAUCCGGCC